rnacentral:pre_miRNA from 1 species
UAUUAAAAAUUUCCCUAUUCGUACUGUUAAAAAUCGACGUGGUCAAAUAGUAUGUACCUCAUGCUGAUGUAUAAGGAUCAAUUUUUAACAAUAAAAAUUAAUGAAAUUUUUAACA